rnacentral:tRNA from 1 species
GGAGGCUUACCCAAGUGGUUGAAGGGGACAGUUUGCUAAACUGUUAGGGUUCGCAAGGGCCGCGAGGGUUCAAAUCCCUCAGCUUCCGCCA